GACUACCGCGGUAGUAGAAGCAGAAGCAGAAGCAGAAGCAGAGAGUAGAGGCACGCUUUGUUUUCUGGUGGAAAUGGACUUUGAAUGAGUGAAGCUGCUCAGCUGCAGUGGAGCCCUAAAGUUCUGAAAAGGUGGAAAUCCUCCGAGGAUGGACAUGAAUCAGGUACUGAUACUCCAGAAGAGAACUUCCUCAUAACAAUUCUGAUUAUUUUCUUAUUUGUUGUGAUCUUUUAAUUGUAAUAUCUCAUAUUUGCUCUGAUUCAUCAAAUAAAAUCAUACAUCUUA